CAACGGAUAUCUAGGCUCUCGCAUCGAUGAAGAACGUAGCAAAAUGCGAUACUUGGUGUGAAUUGCAGAAUCCCGUGAACCAUCGAGUCUUUGAACGCAAGUUGCGCCCGGAGCUGAGAGGCCGAGGGCAUGCCCUGCCCUUGGAGUCUUUUCGAGGAUCG
rnacentral:rRNA from 1 species